rnacentral:rRNA from 1 species
GAUGAACGCUGACAGAAUGCUUAACACAUGCAAGUCUACUUGAAGCUAACUUCGGUUAGUGGAGGGUGGCGGACGGGUGAGUAACGCGUAAAGAACUUGCCUCACAGAUUGGGACAACAUUUGGAAACGAAUGCUAAUACCGGAUAUUAUGAUACUUCCGCAUGGAAGAAUCAUGAAAGCUAUAUGCGCUGUGAGAGAGCUUUGCGUCCCAUUAGCUAGUUGGAGAGGUAACGGCUCACCAAGGCGAUGAUGGGCAGCCGGCCUGAGAGGGUGAACGGCCACAAGGGGACUGAGACACGGCCCUUACUCCUACGGGAGGCAGCAGUGGGGAAUAUUGGACAAUGGACCAAAAGUCUGAUCCAGCAAUUCUGUGUGCACGAUGAAGUUUUUCGGAAUGUAAAGUGCUUUCAGUUGGGAAGAAGCAAGUGACGGUACCAACAGAAGAAGCGACGGCUAAAUACGUGCCAGCAGCCGCGGUAAUACGUAUGUCGCAAGCGUUAUCCGGAUUUAUUGGGCGUAAAGCGCGUCUAGGUGGUUAUAUAAGUCUGAUGUGAAAAUGCGGGGCUCAACUCCGUAUUGCGUUGGAAACUGUGUGACUAGAGUACUGGAGAGGUAAGCGGAACUACAAGUGUAGAGGUGAAAUUCGUAGAUAUUUGUAGGAAUGCCGAUGGGGAAGCCAGCUUACUGGACAGAUACUGACGCUAAAGCGCGAAAGCGUGGGUAGCAAACAGG